rnacentral:rRNA from 1 species
GCUUAAUUUAUAAACUUAUGGUCAGUUUUGCGUUUUAUUCGCUUAAUAAGUAUGAAUUCUGUUGAUAUUGUGGUCUAAAUGUGUUCCAGAGUUUUGUUUUGCAUGCUGUAGAGUGCAAUAAGCUAAGUUUAUGGACUCUUGAUGUUUAAAAUUUUUUAAGUACUCUUGUUUUGUGGUACCUUUUGUAUCAGGGUUAAUAAAAAUUUUUGUUUUGAUUUUACUUAUCUCGAUUUAUGUUGAUUUAUGAUUUAAUUAUUUUUUAUUGUAUUAUAAAUAUUUAUAAUUUGAUUAUAGAAAUGAAAUGUUAUUCGUUUCCUAAGGUAUCUAGUUUUUCAAGAAAAAAUUUAAUUUUUUAUGGUUUAUUGGUUUAUUACAAAUUUUUGUUUAUUAAUUAUUUUCCUAUUAAUUCUUUAUUUUUUUUUCUUUUUUAUUGAUUUCUUCAAUAUUCUUCCUAUUCAAAAUUAGUGUUUCUGCCCCGUAUAGACAUUCUGGUUUAAUUACUGUGUUGUAGUGCCUCAGUUUUGUGUUUUUUGAUAUGCAUUUUUUGUUAUAGAUGUUUUGUGUGAGUCUCAAUGCAGUUUCCAUCUUUUGUGAAAUAAUUAUUGAAUUAGUAUAUUCUUUUGUAUAUUUUAUUUAGAUUUAAAUUUUAUUUUAAGGAAUUAGGCAAAAAUUUUCUUCGCCUGUUUAUCAAAAACAUGUCUUUUUGAUUAUAAUUUAAGGUYUURCCUGCUCACUGAAUAAUUUUUAAAGAGGCGCGUAACUAUGACUCUCCAAAGGUAGCAUAAUGCCUCGUCAUCUAAUUAGUGACGCGCAUGAAUGGAUUAACGAGAUUCCCGCUGUCCCAAUAUAAUUGAUAAAAUUUAACUUUUAAGUUAAAAGGCUUAAAUUUCACUUUAGGACGAGAAGACCCUAUAGAACUUUAUAUAAAAUUUAUUAUCAUUUUGUUGCUAAUUUGUUAUGUUUAUAGUUUAAUAUAUUUUGUUGGGGUGAUGUAAAGAAUAGUUAAACUCUUUAUUUAAGAUGUCAUUAAUUUAUGAAAGAUUGAUCCAUAUUUUGUGAUUAAAAGAUUAAGUUACCUUAGGGAUAACAGCGUAAUUAUUUUUUAGAGUUCAUAUCAACAAAUUAGAUUGCGACCUCGAUGUUGGAUUAAGAUAAGUUUUAGGUGUAUCAGUUUAAAUACUAGGUCUGUUCGACCUUUAAAAUCUUACAUGAUCUGAGUUCAAACCGGUGUAAGCCAGGUUGGUUUCUAUGCUGAGUUUUUAUUUUAUAUUAGUACGAAAGGACCAUAUAGUUGAAAUAUUUUUUAUUUAUUGAAAUUAAUUU